rnacentral:rRNA from 1 species
UACGUAGGGGGCAAGCGUUGUCCGGAAUCAUUGGGCGUAAAGAGCGCGUAGGCGGUCCGGUAAGUCGGUUGUGAAAACUGGGGGCUCAACCCUCAGAGGCCGACCGAUACUGUCGGGCUAGAGUCCGGAAGAGGCGAGUGGAAUUCCUGGUGUAGCGGUGAAAUGCGCAGAUAUCAGGAGGAACACCGAUGGCGAAGGCAGCUCGCUGGGACGGUACUGACGCUGAGGCGCGAAAGCGUGGGGAGCAAACAGG